rnacentral:lncRNA from 1 species
CUGGGAGAGCAAGAAGCAAGGAGCCAGCAAGUCUGGACACAUUCCAGAGGCCACGAGGGGUUUUAUGUCCUGAUUCCUGGAUUCCAUCCAAGCCACGAGGGGUUUUAUGCCCUGGGCUUAGGUUGUAGUGUGGUGGGGCAGCCUUCCACCCUUAAGCACAGAACCUGGUGUUCCACAGGCCACAAGAAGUUUUAAACUCUGUAGUGAGGAUAUGUUCCAAGGCUCUUUUCAUAUUAUGUCAGACUAGCAAGUCUUGCCUCAGCUUUUCUCCCAACAAUUGGACUGAUGAGUUGCUCUACUGGGCACAAGCAUCAUGGGUUCUUAAAACAAGGCCCUGGACAAGCACCAAAUAUGUUCCUAUCACCACAUUCCACUAGCCCUUCAACUAUAAACAUGCACAGGAGUCACCUGGGGGCCUUGCUAAAUAAAAUGCAGCUUCUGAUUCAAUAGUCUCAAACAGGAUCAGAGAUUCUGCCUCUCUUGUUGAGUUCCCAAGUAAGGCAGACCAUGCCAGUCCACAGACUCACACUUUGAGAUACAGCACCUGGGCCAUUGUGUUCUAAUGUGCUUGAUAACCUGGAGCACCUAUUAAAUAUCCAAGUUGCCAGGACUUUCUUCUGGAAAUCUUAAUUCAGUAUGUUUUGUUUGGAGCCUUGGACAUUUGGGAAAAUUAGAAUUUCUUUCUCUCCCUUUAGACAAAAGUCAACUACUGCUGAGGCAUGUGCUUAAUGUUGACUAAAACAUCCAACUCAACAACCAAUCCUGUAUAAUUUUCAAACUCUGUCAAUAACUUGCUGGGUCUAACCUGCAUAACCUGGCUGCAUGACGGGUGAAGAAAUGCACUCAGACACAGGUAUCCCAUGAAAGAGUGGGGUAGGGGACUGGGCAGCUCCCAGACACUGAGGAGGGUGCUGUAAAGAGUCAGCAGUCACAGCCCUGUCAGGCUGGGGCUCCAGGCAUUUAUUCAGCACAGUUUUAAUGACAAAGGUCUCAAGUAAAC